rnacentral:rRNA from 1 species
CUCUCGGGGUUACAGCCUUGCUGAAUUAUUCACCCUUGUCUUUUGCGUACUUCUUGUUUCCUUGGUGGGUUCGCCCACCACUAGGACAAACAUAAACCUUUUGUAAUUGCAAUCAGCGUCAGUAACAAAUUAAUAAUUACAACUUUCAACAACGGAUCUCUUGGUUCUGGCAUCGAUGAAGAACGCAGCGAAAUGCGAUAAGUAGUGUGAAUUGCAGAAUUCAGUGAAUCAUCGAAUCUUUGAACGCACAUUGCGCCCUUUGGUAUUCCAAAGGGCAUGCCUGUUCGAGCGUCAUUUGUACCCUCAAGCUUUGCUUGGUGUUGGGCGUCUUGUCUCUAGCUUUGCUGGAGACUCGCCUUAAAGUAAUUGGCAGCCGGCCUACUGGUUUCGGAGCGCAGCACAAGUCGCACUCUCUAUCAGCAAAGGUCUAGCAUCCAUUAAGCCUUUUUUUCAACUUUUGACCUCGGAUCAGGUAGGGAUACCCGCUGAACUUAAGCAUAUCAAUAAGCGGAGGA